GCAAACUUGGUCAUUUAGAGGAAGUAAAAGUCGUAACAAGGUUUCCGUAGGUGAACCUGCGGAAGGAUCAUUAUUGAAAUAAAACUUGGCAUAAACUGCUGCUGGCUUUAAAAGCAUGUGCACGUUUAUUCCGUUUUAUAACUCCUCCAGUGCACCUUAUGUAGGCUUUGAAUGAAUAAAUCUUGUCAUUUUUUCUUGACGACCCGAGACUGCUGUUUCAAAUUUUGUACGGCUGUUUCUUGUCUGUUCAUUCAAGGUUCUAUGUUUUUUAUUAUUAUAAAAUCACUGUAAAAGAGUGUUCCAUUUUAUUGGCCUUUUGUGCCUUUAAACAAUAAAAUACAACUUUCAACAACGGAUCUCUUGGCUCUCGCAUCGAUGAAGAACGCAGC
rnacentral:misc_RNA from 1 species